rnacentral:rRNA from 1 species
GGAUGCGAUCAUACCAGCACUAAAGCACCGGAUCCCAUCAGAACUCCGAAGUUAAGUGUGCUUUGGCGAGAGUAGUACUAGGAUGGUGACCUCCUGGGAAGUCCUCGUGUUGCAUUCC